ACAAUGGUUCCUUUAGGAACCAAAAUUUUCCUAAUUCUAAUUUUUG
rfam:Cephalotus follicularis DNA, scaffold: scaffold2790, isolate: St1.